rnacentral:rRNA from 1 species
UUGGGAAUAUUGGACAAUGGAGGAAACUCUGAUCCAGUGACGCCGCGUGAAGGAAGAAGGUCUUCGGAUUGUAAACUUAUUUUGUCAGGGAAGAAAAAAAUGACUGUACCUGAAGAAAAAGCACCGGCUAACUACGUGCCAGCAGCCGCGGUAAUACGUAGGGUGCAAGCGUUAUCCGGAUUUACUGGGUGUAAAGGGCGAGUAGACGGCGUUGCAAGUCAGAUGUGAAAACCUAGGGCUCAACCGUAGGACUGCAUCUGAAACUGUAAUGCUAGAGUGCAGGAGAGGUAAGCGGAAUUCCUA